GACGAACGCUGGCGGCGUGCUUAACACAUGCAAGUCGAACGGAAAGGCCCUGCUUUUGUGGGGUGCUCGAGUGGCGAACGGGUGAGUAACACGUGUGUAACCUGCCCUUGACUUUGGGAUAACUUCAGGAAACUGGGGCUAAUACCGGAUAGGAGCUCCUGCUGCAUGGUGGGGGUUGGAAAGUUUCGGCGGUUGGGGAUGGACUCGCGGCUUAUCAGCUUGUUGGUGGGGUAGUGGCUUACCAAGGCUUUGACGGGUAGCCGGCCUGGGAGGGUGACCGGCCACAUUAGGACUGAGAUACGGCCCAGACUCCUACGGGAGGCAGCAGUGGAGAAUAUUGCACAAUGGGCGGAAGCCUGCUGCAGCAACGCCGCGUGCGGGAUGACGGCCUGCGGGUUGUAUACCGCUUUCGCCUGUGACGAAGCGUGAGUGACGGUAAUGGGUAAAGAAGCACCGGCUAACUACGUG
rnacentral:rRNA from 1 species